CUUCCUCUGACUCUAUCUAUGAAAAAUUGUAAUGUCAGUGCUUGUAUACACCUCUGUAACAGUUCACUUGAAAAUAAUCAUAAACCCCUAACAAACAAAUCCUGCCUGCUUGAUACUUGUAAUGUGAAACUGGGGCUAUCUUUACUGGCUUGCUGGAAUGUGUAUAAUCUCUUCUGAUUGGUUGGGAGCCAAAUUUGAACAUGUAAACAUAGAUCCAUGCAAGACCUGAAAUGUAGUUUCAAAGCAAUGUUGGGACUUUUUAAAGUUGAAGUUUUAACAAUAUCCUGAAAUACUUUGAUGGACAUUCAUAAACAAUUAACUAGAAUGUGGAAAUCAACAUUUUGUGUAUUAACAAGUCUCUAAAAGAGGAAUUCAGUGAGUUAUGAAGCGGCCCUUUUGGAAAUGCUUUGAACUGUUAAACAGGUUUGUAUUGUUUUUCUUUACAUUGUUAUCUUAUAAUGUUAUGUUUAAUUUAAUGAUAUAAUUUAACAGUUACAAAGAUCUGUUUUGGUGGGUGAUUUACAUUUUAAAUAAAUGAUGAAACCAAUUAUCUUUGCAGUAUGUUCACAUAAAAGACAUAAGUCAGUCAAAGGUAUCUCUAUCUUACAAAACCAACAUAUAGUUGUAACAAUCAAUUGCCUAAUCAGUGACCAAAUGAAAGGGCAAUGUAACCAAUACUUAGAUUUAUUUAUGAAUAACUACUCUGCCACAAAAUGUAAAGCCUUUUUUUUAAUUACAUAUUUACGAAAGCUAUGUUAUCACUUAAAAGGUGUUGCAUUAUUUAAGUUGUAAUUUUAGUAGAUCCCAUAUGAUCACUUCAUUCAGAUUGGCUAAACAAAGUAAUUUUUAACCAGGUUUUCCGAAGGAAAAAACUGGUUAUUAGAUUGGCGAAUGCGGGCGGGCUGGCUGGCUGGCGGGCUGGCUGGCUGGCUGGCGGAAUAAGCUUGUCCGGGCCAUAACUAUGUCGUUCAUUGUCAGAUUUUAAAAUCAUUUGGCACAUUUGUUCACCAUCAUUGGACGGUGUGUCGCGCGAAAUAAUUACGUCGAUAUCUCCAAGGUCAAGGUCACACUUUGAGUUCAAAGGUCAAAAAUGGCCAUAAAUGAGCUUGUCCUGGCCAUAACUAUGUCAUUCAUUGUGAGAUUUUAAAAUCAUUUGGCACAUUUGUUCACCAUCAUGGGACGGUGUGUCCCACGAAAGAAUCACGUCAAUAUCUCCAAUGUCAAGGUCGCCACGACUAAAAAUAGAUUUAAAAAAAAAAAAAAAAACUUACAAAGGGGGUUAAUUUUUUUUGGUCAUUUCAAAA